AUCACCCAAGAGCUCGUUAAACUGCAAAUUCUGAUUCUGUAGUGCGAGGCCUGAGAUUUUGCAUUUUUAACUAGUUCUCAGGUGAUGCUGU
rnacentral:pre_miRNA from 1 species